GUCGUCGGCCAAAUAGGCGUCCGUGCGCUGUCGGUCGACGAGCGGCGGCUGCGCGCGCAAGCGCAACAGCCGUUGUUCGUCGCACUCUGGACGGUGUGCAGAACGCUUCCCUUUGGUCGGCAUCGACAGGUCGGGGCUUCGUUGUCCGGUCUUAUAUUGCCGACGGUGAUUCGCAGAGCCGUGUCGGGCGCGCGCUCGUUUUCGGACGAGCGUCGCGUGCUCCGUGGAACGUGCGCCCCAGCCGGCGGCCACGGCCGGCCUGGUCUGCGAUGCAAUGCCGUCGAUUGCGAACGACUGGGCGACGGCCGGCGCAAAUCGAAGAGCAAUCUUCGGCUCGGCCUUUGCGUUGCUAUGUGCGGCCCGUCUUGAAACACGGACCAAGGAGUCUAACAUGUGAGCGAGCGAUUGAGAUUGUCGAAUCUCAAACGCGCAAUGAAAGUGAAGUGUCGUCUGACGGCACGAGCGGAGAUCCGUCGUCACUCGUGGCGGCGGCGCACCCGCGGGCCGCGCCAUCGGUUGGCUUGCUCCUUUCGGAGCACUGCUGAGGCGCGGACCUAGAGCCCACACGUUGGGACCCGAAAGAUGGUGAACUAUGCCCGGCCAGGAUGAAGCCAGAGGAAACUCUGGUGGAGGUCCGCCGCGAUUCUGACGUGCAAAUCGAUCGUCUGAGCUGGGUAUA
rnacentral:rRNA from 2 species